rnacentral:rRNA from 1 species
UACGUAGGGGGCUAGCGUUGCUCGGAAUCACUGGGCGUAAAGCGCACGUAGGCGGCUUUCUACGUCAGGGGUGAAAUCCUGGAGCUCAACUCCAGAACUGCCUUUGAUACUGGAGAGCUUGAGUCCGGGAGAGGUGAGUGGAACUCCGAGUGUAGAGGUGAAAUUCGUAGAUAUUCGGAAGAACGCCAGUGGCGAAGGCGGCUCACUGGCCCGGUACUGACGCUGAUGUGCGAAAGCGUGGGGAGCAAACAGG